rnacentral:rRNA from 1 species
GAGCAGAGCUUGCUCUGUGGAUCAGUGGCGAACGGGUGAGUAACACGUGAGCAAUCUGCCCCUGACUCUGGGAUAAGCGCUGGAAACGGCGUCUAAUACCGGAUACGAGCUGCGACCGCAUGGUCAGUAGCUGGAAAGAAUUUCGGUCAGGGAUGAGCUCGCGGCCUAUCAGCUUGUUGGUGAGGUAAUGGCUCACCAAGGCGUCGACGGGUAGCCGGCCUGAGAGGGUGACCGGCCACACUGGGACUGAGACACGGCCCAGACUCCUACGGGAGGCAGCAGUGGGGAAUAUUGCACAAUGGGCGCAAGCCUGAUGCAGCAACGCCGCGUGAGGGAUGACGGCCUUCGGGUUGUAAACCUCUUUUAGCAGGGAAGAAGCGAAAGUGACGGUACCUGCAGAAAAAGCGCCGGCUAACUACGUGCCAGCAGCCGCGGUAAUACGUAGGGCGCAAGCGUUAUCCGGAAUUAUUGGGCGUAAAGAGCUCGUAGGCGGUCUGUCGCGUCUGCUGUGAAAACCCGAGGCUCAACCUCGGGCCUGCAGUGGGUACGGGCAGACUAGAGUGCGGUAGGGGAGAUUGGAAUUCCUGGUGUAGCGGUGGAAUGCGCAGAUAUCAGGAGGAACACCGAUGGCGAAGGCAGAUCUCUGGGCCGUAACUGACGCUGAGGAGCGAAAGGGUGGGGAGCAAACAGGCUUAGAUACCCUGGUAGUCCACCCCGUAAACGUUGGGAACUAGUUGUGGGGUCCAUUCCACGGAUUCCGUGACGCAGCUAACGCAUUAAGUUCCCCGCCUGGGGAGUACGGCCGCAAGGCUAAAACUCAAAGGAAUUGACGGGGACCCGCACAAGCGGCGGAGCAUGCGGAUUAAUUCGAUGCAACGCGAAGAACCUUACCAAGGCUUGACAUAUAGAGGAAACGUCUGGAAACAGUCGCCCCGCAAGGUCUCUAUACAGGUGGUGCAUGGUUGUCGUCAGCUCGUGUCGUGAGAUGUUGGGUUAAGUCCCGCAACGAGCGCAACCCUCGUUCUAUGUUGCCAGCACGUAAUGGUGGGAACUCAUGGGAUACUGCCGGGGUCAACUCGGAGGAAGGUGGGGAUGACGUCAAAUCAUCAUGCCCCUUAUGUCUUGGGCUUCACGCAUGCUACAAUGGCCGGUACAAAGGGCUGCAAUACCGUGAGGUGGAGCGAAUCCCAAAAAGCCGGUCCCAGUUCGGAUUGAGGUCUGCAACUCGACCUCAUGAAGUCGGAGUCGCUAGUAAUCGCAGAUCAGCAACGCUGCGGUGAAUACGUUCCCGGGUCUUGUACACACCGCCCGUCAAGUCAUGAAAGUCGGUAACACCUGAAGCCGGUGGCC